AAUAGCGUAUAUUAAAGUUGUUGCAGUUAAAAAGCUCGUAGUUGGAUUUCUGGUGGGAGGGAUCGGUCCUGCAUUCUUUGUAGGAACUUGUAUCCUCUCCGGCCAUCCUUGGGUGGAUCUUGUCUGGCAUUAAGUUGUCAGUCAGGGGAUGCCCAUCGUUUACUGUGAAAAAAUUAGAGUGUUCAAAGCAGGCUUAUGCCAUUGAAUAUAUUAGCAUGGAAUAAUAAGAUAGGGCCCUGGUACUAUUUUGUUGGUUUGCGUACCGAGGUAAUGAUUAAUAGGGACAGUUGGGGGUAUUUGUAUUCAGUAUUCAGUGGUGAAAUACUUAGACCUACGGAAGACAAACUACUGCGAAAGCAUUUACCAAGGAUGUUUUCAUUAAUCAAGAACGAAAGUAUGGGGAUCGAAGAUGAUUAGA
rnacentral:rRNA from 1 species